CCGGAGGGGCUGUCAUUCGUAGCGCUGGUCGCCGCCCUUAGCUGCGGCCGGGUGGUUCCGGCUCCUCCCUCCCAAGCUGCCUCAGCCCCACCAUGGUGCUGGAGUCGGUGGUCGCGGACUUGCUGAACCGCUUCCUGGGGGACUAUGUGGAGAACCUGAACAAGUCCCAGCUGAAGCUGGGCAUCUGGGGCGGAAAUGUGGCUUUAGAUAAUCUACAGAUAAAAGAAAAUGCCCUGAGUGAAUUGGAUGUUCCUUUUAAAGUCAAGGCUGGCCAAAUUGAUAAAUUAACUUUGAAGAUUCCUUGGAAAAACCUUUAUGGAGAAGCAGUUGUUGCGACUCUAGAAGGAUUAUACCUGCUUGUUGUCCCUGGAGCAAGUAUUAAGUAUGAUGCUGAAAAAGAAGAAAAAUCCUUGCAGGAUGUUAAACAGAAAGAGCUAUCCCGAAUUGAAGAAGCCCUUCAAAAAGCAGCAGAAAAAGGCACACAUUCAGGGGAGUUCAUAUAUGGCUUGGAAAACUUUGUUUACAAGGACAUCAAGCCUGGACGUAAACGUAAAAAGCACAAAAAACAUUUUAAGAAACCUUUUAAAGGUCUUGAUCAUUCAAAAGAUAAGCCAAAAGAAGCCAAAAAGGAUACAUUUGUGGAAAAAUUGGCAACUCAAGUAAUAAAAAAUGUACAAGUAAAAAUCACAGAUAUUCACAUUAAGUAUGAAGAUGAUGUCACUGAUCCAAAGCGGCCUCUUUCAUUUGGUGUCACGUUGGGAGAGCUCAGUCUACUGACUGCAAAUGAACACUGGACUCCAUGCAUAUUAAAUGAAACAGACAAAAUUAUAUACAAGCUUAUACGACUUGAUAGUCUUAGCGCAUACUGGAAUGUAAACUGCAGCAUGUCUUACCAGAGAUCAAGGGAACAGAUUUUGGAUCAGCUGAAAAAUGAAAUUCUUACAAGUGGAAAUAUACCCCCAAAUUAUCAAUACAUUUUCCAGCCAAUAUCAGCCUCUGCAAAACUCUACAUGAAUCCUUAUGCAGAAUCAGAGCUCAAAACACCCAAACUGGAUUGGAACAUAGAAAUACAAAAUAUUGCCAUUGAACUGACCAAACCUCAGUACUUAAGUAUGAUUGACCUUUUGGAGUCAGUGGAUUAUAUGGUUAGGAAUGCGCCUUAUAGGAAAUACAAGCCUUAUUUACCACUUCAUACCAAUGGUCGACGAUGGUGGAAAUAUGCAAUUGACUCUGUUCUUGAAGUUCAUAUAAGAAGGUAUACACAGAUGUGGUCAUGGAGUAAUAUAAAAAAGCACAGGCAGUUACUCAAGAGUUAUAAAAUUGCCUACAAAAACAAGUUAACACAGUCUAAAGUCUCAGAAGAAAUACAGAAAGAAAUUCAGGACUUGGAGAAGACUCUAGAUGUUUUUAACAUAAUUUUAGCAAGGCAACAAGCACAAGUUGAGGUGAUUCGGUCUGGGCAAAAAUUAAGGAAAAAGUCUGCUGACACAGGCGAGAAACGUGGAGGCUGGUUUAGUGGGUUUUGGGGUAAGAAAGAGUCUAAGAAAAAGGACGAAGAAUCAUUGAUUCCUGAAAGUAUUGAUGACCUUAUGACUCCAGAGGAAAAAGAUAAACUCUUCACUGCCAUUGGUUAUAGUGAGAGUACUCACAACCUAACUUUACCUAAGCAGUAUGUUGCCCAUAUAAUGACCCUGAAGUUAGUAAGCACCUCUGUUACGAUAAGAGAAAACAAGAAUAUUCCAGAAAUACUAAAAAUUCAGAUAAUUGGGCUGGGCACUCAAGUAUUUCAGCGACCAGGAGCACAAGCACUUAAGGUAGAAGCAAAAUUAGAACACUGGUAUAUAACAGGUUUGAGACAGCAGGAUAUUGUACCAUCACUUGUGGCUUCAAUUGGUGACACUACAUCAUCCUUGCUUAAAAUUAAAUUUGAAACCAAUCCAGAGGAUAGUCCUGCUGACCAGACUCUGAUUGUUCAGUCUCAGCCUGUGGAGGUCAUCUAUGAUGCUAAAACUGUCAAUGCAGUGGUUGAAUUCUUUCAAUCAAAUAAGGGUUUGGAUCUUGAGCAAAUAACAUCAGCAACAUUGAUGAAGCUGGAAGAAAUUAAGGAGAGAACAGCUACAGGACUUACACAUAUUAUUGAAACUCGAAAAGUCCUUGAUUUAAGGAUAAAUCUGAAGCCUUCUUAUCUAGUAGUUCCACAGACAGGUUUCCACCAUGAAAAGUCAGAUCUUCUGAUUUUAGAUUUUGGUACAUUUCAGCUCAACAGUAAAGAUCAAGGUUUACAGAAGACUACUAAUUCAUCUCUGGAAGAAAUAAUGGAUAAGGCUUAUGACAAGUUUGAUGUUGAAAUAAAAAAUGUACAACUACUUUUUGCAAGAGCAGAGGAAAACUGGAAAAAGUGUCGAUUUCAGCAUCCAUCAACUAUGCAUAUAUUGCAACCCAUGGAUAUUCAUGUUGAGUUGGCCAAAGCUAUGGUAGAAAAAGACAUAAGAAUGGCCAGAUUUAAAGUGUCAGGAGGACUUCCUUUGAUGCAUGUGAGAAUUUCUGACCAGAAGAUGAAAGAUGUGCUAUAUUUGAUGAACAGUAUACCUUUGCCACAGAAAUCAUCAGCCCAGUCUCCAGAGAAACAGGUAUCCUCAAUUCCAGUUAUUUCAGGUGGGACAAAAGGUCUACUUGGUACUUCACUGUUGCUAGAUGCUGUGGAAUCAGAGUCUGAUGAUGAGUAUUUUGAUGCUGAAGAUGGGGAACCACAGACUGGUAAAAGUAUGAAAGGAUCAGAACUUAAAAAAGCUGCAGAGGUCCCAAAUGAGGAGCUCAUUAAUCUUCUGCUCAAGUUUGAAAUUAAAGAAGUGAUUUUGGAAUUUACUAAACAGCAGAAAGAAGAAGAUACAAUUCUAGUAUUUAAUGUUACUCAGUUAGGAACAGAGGCUACAGUGAGAACAUUUGACUUAACUGCGGUAUCUUAUUUAAAGAAAAUCAGCUUGGAUUACCAUGAAAUUGAAGGAUCCAAAAAGAAGCCCCUUCACUUGAUUAGCUCUUCUGACAAACCUGGAUUAGAUCUUUUGAAAGUGGAGUAUAUUAAGGCUGAUAAGAAUGGACCUAGUUUUCAAACUACUUUUGGAAAAACUGAACAAACAGUUAAGGUGGCCUUUUCAUCUUUAAAUCUGUUGCUGCAAACACAAGCUCUUGUCUCUUCUAUUAAUUACCUCACAACCAUUAUUCCUUCUGAUGAUCAAAGCAUAAAUGUUGCCAAGGAGGUACAAAUUUCAACUGAAAAACAACAAAAAAAUUCAACUCUGCCAAAAGUGAUUGUAUCCUCCAAAGAUAGUGACAUUAUUGGCUUCAGGCUGUUUGCGCAGUUGAAUGCUUUCUGUGUCGUUGUUUGCAACGAAAAGAACAAUAUCGCUGAAAUCAAGAUUCAAGGCCUGGAUUCCUCCCUUUCUCUCCAGUCAAGAAAACAGUCACUUUUUGCCCGACUAGAAAAUAUUAUUGUCACAGAUGUUGAUCCGAAGACAGUUCAUAAGAAAGCUGUGUCAAUAAUGGGAAAUGAAGUUUUCCGUUUUAAUUUGGAUUUGUAUCCAAAUGCUACUGAGGGAGAUUUGUAUACUGACAUGUCCAAAGUGGAUGGUGUGCUGUCUCUGAAUGUUGGCUGUAUUCAGAUCGUCUAUCUUCAUAAAUUCCUUAUGUCACUUCUGAACUUCCUGAGUAAUUUCCAGACAGCCAAAGAGUCUCUGAGUGCUGCCACUGCCCAGGCUGCAGAAAAGGCUGCCACAAGUGUGAAAGAUCUUGCACAGAGGAGUUUUCGUGUUUCCAUCAAUAUUGAUUUAAAAGCACCAGUUAUAGUCAUCCCACAGUCUUCCAUUUCCACCAAUGCAGUAGUGGUAGAUCUUGGGUUAAUCAGAGUUCAAAAUCAGUUCAGUCUGGUGUCUGAUGAAGACUACUUAAAUCCUCCAGUAAUUGAUAGAAUGGAUGUGCAGUUAACAAAGCUUACACUUUAUAGGACGGUGAUCCAGCCAGGCACCUACCAUCCUGAUAUUCAGCUGUUGCACCCAAUUAACUUGGAAUUUCUUGUAAAUCGGAAUCUAGCUGCAUCUUGGUACCACAAGAUGCCUGUUGUGGAAAUUAAAGGGCAUCUUGAUUCAAUGAAUGUUAGUCUAAAUCAAGAAGAUCUUAAUCUUUUAUUUAGGAUACUAGCAGAAAAUCUUGGUGAGGGUACUGAAGACUUGGAUAAAGUGAAACCAAGAGUACAAGAGACAGGUGAAACUAAAGAGCCCCUUGAAAUCUCUAUAUCACAACAAGAUAUGUAUGAUUCAAAAAAUACUUUAACAACUGGAGUGGAAGAAAUUAGAUCUGUAGACAUCAUUAAUAUGCUGCUGAAUUUUGAAAUUAAAGAGGUUGUGGUUACUUUGAUGAAAAAAUCAGAAAAGAAGGGAAGGCCUUUACAUGAGCUAAAUGUCCUGCAACUUGGAAUGGAAGCUAGAGUUAAAACCUAUGACAUGACUGCUAAAGCUUAUCUAAAAAAAAUUAGUAUGCAGUGCUUUGAUUUCACUGAUUCUAAAGGAGAACCUCUUCACAUUAUUAACUCUUCUAAUGUGACUGACAAACCCCUUCUGAAAAUGUUACUGACAAAGGCAGACAGUGAUGGACCAGAAUUUAAAACUAUUCAUGACAGUACCAAACAGACGCUGAAGGUUUCAUUUUCAUCCUUAGACUUAGUACUUCAUUUAGAAGCUUUACUUUCCUUCAUGGAUUUUUUAUCAUCUGCUGCUCCAUUCUCUGAACCUUCCUCUUCUGAGAAGGAAUCCGAGCUGAAACCACUUGUGGAGGAGUCCAGAAGUAUUGCUGUCAAAUCUGUAUCCAGCAACAUUUCCCAAAAGGAUGUGUUUGAUUUAAAGGUCACAGCUGAAUUAAAUGCAUUUAAUGUCCUUGUCUGUGAUCAGAAGUGUAACAUUGCAGAGAUUAAAAUACAUGGAAUGGAUGCCUCUAUUUCUGUGAAGCCUAAGCAGACCGAUGUGUUUGCCAGACUUAAAGAUAUUAUAGUUACGAAUGUAGAUUUGCAGUCCAUUCACAAAAAGGCCGUCUCUAUUUUGGGAGAUGAAGUCUUUAGGUUCCAACUGACUCUUUAUCCAGAUGCCACAGAAGGAAAGGCCUAUGCUGAUAUGUCCAAAGUAGAUGGCAAACUUAGUUUCAAAGUGGGUUGUAUUCAGAUUGUUUAUGUUCAUAAAUUCUUCAUGUCUCUUUUGAACUUCCUCAACAAUUUCCAAACUGCUAAAGAAGCUUUGAGCACAGCCACAGUCCAGGCUGCAGAAAGAGCUGCUUCUAGCAUGAAAGACUUGGCUCAAAAGAGUUUCCGCCUUUUGAUGGAUAUCAAUUUGAAAGCACCAGUUAUUAUUAUUCCUCAGUCUUCGGUAUCACCUAAUGCUGUUAUAGCAGAUCUGGGUUUAAUCAGAAUUGAAAACAAGUUUAGCUUGGUUCCUAUGGAACAUUAUUCUCUUCCUCCAGUCAUUGAUAAAAUGAACAUCGAACUCACUCAGUUGAAGCUGUCAAGAACUAUUUUGCAGGCUAGCUUGCCACAAAAUGACACUGAAAUUUUAAAACCAGUCAACAUGCUUUUGUCCAUACAACGAAACUUAGCAGCAGCAUGGUAUGUGCAAAUUCCAGGGAUGGAGAUAAAAGGAAAACUAAAACCUAUGCAGGUUGCUCUCAGUGAAGAUGACUUGACAGUUUUAAUGAAAAUUUUGCUGGAAAAUCUUGGAGAAGCUUCCUCACAACCAAGCCCUACACAGUCUGUGCAGGAAGCUGUAAGAGUGAGAAAAGUUGAUGUUUCAAGUGGACCCGACCAUCUCAAAGAACAAGAAGAUUGGACAGACUCAAAGCUUUCUAUGAACCAGACUGUCAGUCUCCAAUUUGACUUUCACUUUGAAUCUCUUUCCAUUAUCCUUUAUAACAAUGACAUUAACCAGGAGUCCGGAGUUACAUUUCAUAAUGACAGUUUCCAGCUUGGUGAACUCAGACUACAUCUUAUGGCCUCCUCGGGGAAGAUGUUUAAGGAUGGCUCAAUGAAUGUCAGCGUUAAACUUAAGACAUGCACCCUUGAUGACCUCAGAGAAGGAAUUGAGAGAGCAACAUCGAGAAUGAUUGACAGAAAGAAUGACCAAGAUAACAACAGUUCUAUGAUUGAUUUAAGUUACAAACAAGACAAAAAUGGAAGUCAAAUUGAUGCUAUUCUUGACAAGCUGUAUGUAUGUGCCAGUGUGGAAUUUCUGAUGACUGUGGCAGAUUUCUUUAUCAAAGCUGUGCCUCAGAGUCCAGAAAAUGUGGCAAAAGAAACACAGAUUUUACCAAGACAGACUGCCACAGGGAAGGUCAAGACAGAGAAAGAUGACUCUGUUAGACCAAAUAUGACCUUAAAGGCCAUGAUCACAGAUCCAGAAGUGGUAUUUGUUGCCAGCCUGACAAAGGCUGAUGCUCCUGCUCUCACAGCGUCGUUUCAAUGUAACCUUUCUCUGUCAACAUCCAAACUCGAACAGAUGAUGGAAGCUUCUGUGAGAGAUCUGAAAGUGCUCGCUUGCCCUUUUCUCAGAGAAAAGAGAGGGAAAAACAUUACCACAGUCUUGCAGCCCUGUUCUUUAUUUAUGGAAAAAUGUAUGUGGGCUUCAGGAAAACAAAAUAUAAAUAUUAUGGUUAAAGAAUUUAUAAUUAAGAUUUCACCCAUAAUUCUUAAUACUGUGAUGACAAUCAUGGCUGCAUUGUCUCCAAAAACAAAGGAAGAUGAAUCCAAAGAUACAUCUAAGGAAAUGGAAAAUCUUUGGGGUGUCAAAUCGAUUAAUGAUUAUAACACUUGGUUUCUUGGUGUUGACAUGGCAACAGAAGUAACAGAAAGUUUCAAAGACAUUGAACAUUCAUUGAUAGAGGAAAAUUGUGGUGUUGUUGUAGAAUCCAUUCAAGUUACCUUAGAAUGUGGCCUUGGACAUCGAACUGUACCUUUAUUAUUGGCAGAGUCUAAGUUUUCAGGAAAUAUUAAAAAUUGGACUUCUCUAAUGGCUGCUACUGCUGAUGUGACACUACAGGUGCACUAUUACAAUGAGAUCCAUGCUGUCUGGGAGCCCCUGAUUGAGAGAGUGGAGGGGAAGAGACAGUGGAAUUUAAGACUUCAUGUAAAGAAGAACCCAGUUCAGGAUAAAAGUUUGCUGCCAGGAGAUGAUUUUAUUCCUGAGCCACAAAUGGCAAUUCAUAUUUCUUCAGGAAAUACAAUGAAUAUAACAAUAUCGAAAAGUUGUCUUAAUAUUUUCAACAAUUUAGCAAAAGGUUUUUCAGAGGGCACUGCUUCUACUUUUGACUACUCUUUAAAGGACAGAGCUCCUUUUACGGUAAAAAAUGCUGUAGGUGUUCCCAUUAAGGUGAAGCCCAAUUGUAAUCUCAGAGUAAUGGGCUUCCCAGAGAAAAGUGAUAUUUUUGAUGUUGAUGCUGGCCAGAAUUUGGAACUGGAAUAUGCCAGCAUGGUACCUUCAAGUCAAGGGAACCUAUCUAUAUUGAGUCGUCAAGAAAGCUCCUUCUUCACUCUGACCAUUGUACCUCAUGGAUAUACAGAAGUUGCAAAUAUCCCUGUGGCCAGACCUGGACGGCGAUUGUAUAAUGUACGGAAUCCCAAUGCCAGUCAUUCUGACUCUGUCUUGGUACAGAUUGAUGCAACUGAAGGGAAUAAAGUAAUUACUCUUCGCUCUCCUCUACAGAUCAAAAACCAUUUCUCCAUUGCAUUUAUCAUCUAUAAAUUUGUUAAGAAUGUUAAGCUAUUGGAGCGCAUUGGGAUAGCCAGACCUGAAGAGGAGUUCCAUGUUCCUUUAGAUUCAUAUAGAUGUCAGUUGUUUAUCCAGCCAGCUGGAAUCUUAGAGCAUCAGUACAAGGAAUCCACCACUUACAUUUCUUGGAAGGAAGAACUUCAUAGGAGCAGGGAAGUCAGAUGCAUGUUGCAGUGUCCAUCAGUAGAAGUCAGCUUCUUACCUCUCAUAGUGAAUACAGUUGCUCUGCCUGAUGAAUUAAGCUACAUAUGUACACAUGGGGAAGACUGGGAUGUAGCUUACAUUAUUCAUCUUUAUCCUUCUCUCACUUUGCGGAAUCUUCUCCCAUAUUCUCUAAGAUAUUUACUUGAGGGAACAGCAGAAACUCAUGAGCUGGCAGAAGGCAGUACUGCUGAUGUUCUGCAUUCAAGAAUCAGUGGUGAAAUAAUGGAAUUAGUCCUGAUGAAAUACCAGGGCAAAAACUGGAAUGGACAUUUCCGUAUACGUGAUACACUUCCAGAAUUCUUUCCUGUGUGUUUUUCUUCUGACUCCACAGAAGUGACGACAGUUGACCUGUCAGUCCAUGUCAGGCGAAUUGGCAGCCGGAUGGUGCUGUCUGUCUUUAGUCCCUAUUGGCUAAUCAACAAGACUUCCCGGGUUCUUCAGUAUCGUUCAGAAGAUACUCAUGUGAAACAUCCAGCUGAUUUCAGGGAUAUUAUUUUAUUCUCUUUUAAGAAGAAGAACAUUUUUACUAAAAAUAAGGUACAAUUAAAAAUUUCAACUAGUGCCUGGUCCAGUAGUUUCUCAUUGGAUACAGUGGGAAGUUAUGGGUGUGUGAAGUGUCCUGCCAACAAUAUGGAGUACCUGGUUGGUGUUAGCAUCAAAAUGAGCAGUUUCAACCUUUCGCGAAUAGUUACCCUGACUCCCUUUUGUACCAUUGCAAACAAGUCAUCUUUAGAACUAGAAGUUGGCGAGAUUGCAUCUGAUGGCUCAAUGCCAACUAAUAAAUGGAACUAUAUUGCUUCUUCAGAGUGCCUUCCAUUUUGGCCUGAAAAUUUGUCAGGCAAACUUUGUGUGAGAGUGGUGGGCUGUGAAGGAUCUUCCAAACCGUUCUUCUAUAACCGACAGGAUAAUGGCACUUUAUUGAGCUUAGAAGAUCUGAAUGGGGGUAUCUUGGUGGAUGUAAACACUGCCGAACAUUCAACUGUCAUAACUUUUUCUGAUUACCAUGAGGGAUCUGCUCCUGCCUUGAUAAUGAACCAUACACCAUGGGACAUCCUCACAUACAAACAGAGUGGGUCACCAGAAGAAAUGGUCUUGCUGCCAAGACAAGCUCGACUUUUUGCCUGGGCAGAUCCUACUGGUACCAGAAAACUUACAUGGACAUAUGCAGCAAAUGUUGGGGAACAUGAUCUGUUAAAGGAUGAAUGUGGACAGUUUCCAUAUGAUGCAAACAUCCAGAUACACUGGGUAUCAUUUCUAGAUGGGCGCCAGAGAGUUUUGCUUUUCACCGAUGAUGUUGCCUUGGUUUCCAAAGCACUACAGGCAGAAGAAAUGGAACAGGCUGAUUAUGAAAUAAACUUGUCUCUCCACAGUCUUGGGCUUUCACUGGUUAACAAUGAAAGCAAACAGGAAGUUUCAUAUAUUGGGAUAACCAGUUCUGGUGUUGUUUGGGAGAUGAAACCAAAACGGAAAUGGAAGCCAUUUAGUCAAAAGCAGAUAAUCUUACUGGAACAAUCCUAUCAGAAACAUCAAAUAUCAAGAGACCAUGGCUGGAUUAAGCUAGAUAAUAAUUUUGAGGUCAAUUUUGAUAAAGAUCCAAUGGAAAUGCGCCUCCCUAUUCGUUGCCCUAUUAAACGAGACUUUUUAUCAGGAAUUCAGAUUGAAUUUAAGCAGUCUUCUCACCAGAGAAGUUUAAGGGCCAGGUUGUACUGGCUUCAGGUUGAUAAUCAGUUGCCAGGUGCGAUGUUCCCUGUUGUAUUUCAUCCUGUUGCCCCUCCAAAAUCUAUUGCUUUAGAUUCAGAGCCCAAGCCUUUCAUUGAUGUGAGUGUCAUCACAAGAUUUAAUGAGUACAGUAAAGUCUUACAGUUCAAGUAUUUUAUGGUCCUCAUUCAGGAAAUGGCCUUAAAAAUUGAUCAGGGGUUUCUAGGAGCUGUUAUUGUACUGUUUACCCCAACAACAGACCCUGAAGCUGAAAGAAAACGGACAAAGUUAAUCCAACCAGAUAUUGAUGCUCUAAAUGCAGAAUUAAUGGAGACUUCAAUGACUGAUAUGUCAAUUCUUAGUUUCUUUGAACAUUUCCAUAUUUCUCCUGUGAAGUUGCAUUUGAGUUUGUCUUUGGGUUCCGGAGGUGAAGGAUCAGACAAAGAAAAACAGGAAAUGUUUGCAGUUCAGUCUGUCAACUUGCUGUUGAAAAGCAUAGGUGCUACUCUGACUGAUGUGGAUGACCUUAUAUUCAAGCUUGCUUAUUAUGAAAUUCAAUACCAAUUUUACAAGAGAGAUCAGCUUAUGUGGAGUGUUGUUAGGCAUUACAGUGAACAGUUCUUGAAACAGAUGUAUGUCCUUGUAUUGGGGUUAGAUGUACUUGGAAACCCAUUUGGAUUAAUUAGAGGUCUGUCUGAAGGAGUUGAAGCUUUAUUCUAUGAACCCUUCCAGGGUGCUGUUCAAGGCCCUGAAGAAUUUGCAGAGGGGUUAGUGAUUGGAGUGAGAAGUCUCUUUGGACACACAGUAGGUGGUGCAGCAGGAGUUGUAUCUCGAAUCACUGGUUCUGUUGGGAAAGGUUUGGCAGCAAUUACAAUGGACAAGGAAUAUCAGCAAAAAAGAAGAGAAGAGUUGAGUCGACAGCCCAAAGAUUUUGGAGAUAGCCUGGCCAGAGGAGGAAAGGGCUUUCUGCGAGGAGUUGUUGGUGGAGUGACUGGAAUAAUAACAAAACCUGUGGAAGGUGCCAAAAAGGAAGGAGCUGCUGGAUUCUUUAAAGGAAUUGGAAAAGGGCUUGUGGGUGCCGUGGCUCGUCCAACUGGUGGAAUCAUAGAUAUGGCCAGUAGUACUUUCCAAGGCAUUCAGAGGGCAGCAGAAUCAACUGAGGAGGUAUCUAGUCUCCGUCCCCCUCGCCUGAUCCACGAAGAUGGCAUCAUUCGUCCAUAUGACAGACAGGAAUCUGAGGGCUCGGACUUACUUGAGCAAGAACUGGAAAUACAGGAAUAAAUGUUUCCUAAACUACUACUUGAUUUCAUCCUUAAAAAUCAAAACAAACUGUGGUAUUAAUUGACUGUGUCUGAAUUCCAUUGUCAAUUUUAAUGAAAUUUUCUUUAAAACUCUCACCUCCAUCUGAACUUUUCAUAGUAGUGGCUUGACUACAAAUAAAAACUUGUGGUAUCCCUGGUAAUACUGUACUGAAAUAAGAGAUUAGUAUAAAAUAUUAAAGGAUGCAGAGAAUCAACUCUCUUCUCCAUUUAAUAGAUGAAAGACUAUAUUGAGCUCAGAAACAGAUAUUGUUAUUAUCAUUUCAAAAAGUUUAUCUUAUGGUGUUCAUGUGCAUUUCAGGUAAAAUUGAAAAACAGGACCAUUAUUAUGUCCAAUUUAGUGAAUAUGUUUAUGUUUGUGAGUCGUGAUGAUGGAAUUACGUAGCUUUCUGUUUCACAAAUGACUCUAAAUUUACUUAAGUUACAGGGCUAUUAACUGGAGCAUCUGCUUUAAUAAUUGAAUUGUCAGUUGCUCUGAGCCUGCCCUUAGACCUCAAAUAAUAGUUGGCACAUGAAUUUUGAGGAUGUUUCCUCAUCCCUCUUUUUCCUGUUUAACCCCUUGUUACUGUUGCUAAAUAAAUGAUAGUCAUUUUCUAAUUAUGUUAUAUACAUUUUCAGCCUUUAGCAUUUCUGCUUUUCAAAUAUUGAAUCUCCUUGUUAGUUAUACUUAUUUCAUAAUUAUUAGUUUUAAUUAAUGUAAAUAGAAGUUGAAUAUGUAAUUAUGCAGAUUGCUGUGUGGCACUUGAAUACAUAGAUUUCUUUAUUUUCAAAAACCAACCUUUUGCUUUUAAAUCCUUAGAGAGGUUUUAUUGUCUUAAUGAGAGAAAAAAUAAUUAUAAAUCAUUAUUUUUGAAAUUAGUACCCUGUUAGUUCUCAACAUAAGUUAUGUUUCAAUUUCUUUCUUUGUAAUAGAUGAUGGAAAUGUUUAAUUUAACAGUGUCUUAUCUAGCAACUUUCAUGUUUCACCUCAGAAACGAAGCCAAAGUAUAAACAGAUUUAGUGUGUUGUGUAUGUGAAGAGAAUGAAACUAUUAACAUAUAAUUGUUCAGUUGGAUUAUGUAUUUUAAGGAUUGCAGUUAUCAAAAUAAUAAAUUGAAUGUUUUAUGUUUAAAAUAAGCACUUUAAAGAAGAAAGACUGACAUCCAAAAACCAGCCUGUGCUAGAAAUACAAAGGAAAUUACUUCUGUCCUUAAGGGACCAAGUAUAACAAAACAUGUAAAUGUUAAAAGUAGCUGACAAACCUUUCUUUUGCCUAAAUUAGCGAUGGCAAAAAUGUCACCACAUGCAGUUUUCUGGGAGAGUCAAGCACAAAUAACUAAUUCAAGAUGCUGACUUAAAUCAUCUCCAAUAGUUACCCUUCCUGAGAUUCUAAAAGUAACAAUUUUUAAUUUUACUGGUUGUAUUGCUAUUUUAAUGAGACUUACUUUUGAGAACUCCUGUAACUUAAGAUUUUUUCUUGUUUUGUUUAGCUCUUUAUUAAUUUUUUCCUUGUGAUAUCUUUUUAUAAUUCUGUCAAAAAGCACAAAACUUUAAGAAACUUUUAUUUUUCUAAAUGUAUAAUCUUGUCUGAUUUCUUAGUUUUAAUUAAGAUAUCAGACAACUUUUAAAACUUUAAUGCAUUAUUAUAAUUACUGGAAGAAAUAGAAUGAUUAUACACUAAUGAGAGGACUUGGUAGUUUUUGCCGUGGAUGUCAAGUGUGGGCAUGGAUAAUUGAGAUAUUUAGGCUAUUUCAUUCUUUGCCCAUCUUGCUGUGAUCAGUCAGUUGGGUAAAAAUAUUUGUUGAUUAUUUAGUCUGUACUGGAUACAAAAGAAGCCUUCUGUCCUUAAGGGACCAAGUAUAACAAAACAUGGAAAUAUUAAAGAACAUUAGAGUAUAAAAUUAUAUCCUUUUAGCCCUUCGUAAUAUGGCCAAAUUCUAAAUAAUUUAUUUGGAGAUCUUUUGAUCCUCGUUUUCCUUUUUCUCCUAAGUAGUACUCUGUAUUCUUCAAUACGUAGCUUUGAGAGUUACUAAAUCAUAUGUUUUCAUGAGAUGUACUAUUCUACUUAUCCUCUAAUCUUCAUAUAUAUUUAUACACACACACACAUAUAUACACACAUACAUAUAUACACACACACACAUAUACACACACACACAUACAUAUAUAUACACAUACACACAUAUAUACACACAUACACACAUAUACAUAUAUACACACAUAUACACACAUAUACACAUGCAUGUACACAUAUAUACACACACGUAUACAUACAUACACAUAUAUACACAUAUACAUACAUAUAUACACAUAUAUACACACCAUACAUAUAUACACAUAUACACACAUAUAUACACACAUACAUAUAUAUACACACACCAUAUAUAUAUACACAUAUAUAGAGAUACAUUAUAUGUAUGUAUGUAUAGUCAUUUAAUACUCAUUUUGGUUCACAUACUUAUGAUCAUACAACAUUUAAAACCACAUUUCUUGCUUUUUAGUUUUAGUUGUAUUUUUCCAUGUUCUUAGAAAUGCGUCAUUAACAUUUUUAAUUCUUGUAUUACCAUCUAUUGAGGUAACAUUACAUUGUGUUUUUAACUCCUCUUAAUACAUGACAUUAAAUUUGUUUAUUAUUUUACUAACAGUAAUAGUGCUGUAAUAAACAUCAUUAUACAUUUUGGUUUUUUAUAUCUUGUUUGCUUUUUCAUAUUUCUGUAGAAUUUACUUGAAAAAAUUGAAUUACUGGGUAAAGGGCUUUUGCAAAGUAUUGUUAAAUUCCUCAAGUUGCAUUUUUGGGAAGGGGACGUGAAUAUUUUAUCAACUAAUUUGGUCUCCUGCUGCCAUUAGUAACUGAAUGUCUUAAUCUGAAUCUCAGAGUGCAGUGGGUUUUUAGUAGUGCUGAGAACAAGUUUUCUAAAGUGUAUUGUGGUGAUAAAUUAUAUUUUAAAAGCUCUCAAUGGCUUGAAGCACAAUAGCCUAAUAAGUAACGAAAAUGCAUACAAGAUAGAAAGUGGGUAGUAUUUCUUGUACUUGCAUUUCACAUCUAAAUAUUUUAACAUAUUUAAAUUUCAAGCUGAUGAUAAAUGCAUUAUAUUAUUAAAUUCAUUUCCCAUUUUCUCUUUGAAAAAAUUAAGGCAUAAAUGUUAAAAGAUUUUAGCUAAUUCGCACAAGUGAAUUGUGAAACAAGUAAGUAUUGCUGUGAAAUCUGCAGUCCUCUCUGAGACUCAUUCUGAAGAUGAGAUCCCAGUUCUUUGUGGAUUCCUCUUCCUUAUUCAUGGCUUUUUGCAAUUGUCAAGGAAUGACUAGGUACCAAGCAACUUUAAAAAAUGUAUAUUUAAGCAUUGAAAUAAUACCAAGUGUGAUUUCUCUGUGGUUAUAUUGAUUAUAUUAUCCUUUUAAUAAUAUUGGCAUUAUAUUCUUGGUCAUAAAAUGUUAAGGUCUUAUUUAUUCAGUAUAUUUAUGUUCUGUAUUUUCAUAUAUAUUACCUAUUUUCAACCAUGCAUUAUAUAUAAUGUCAGUAAUAGUAUUUCAUUAGCAUUCAUUAUUAAAAAAAUUUUGUUUUUAAUAUUUGACUAAUUCAAGUCACAAUACUGUUGAGAUAGCUGAAAAGGAAAAUAAAUGUGUUUUAAUGUACUACUACUUAUACUUGUAUUACUUUAUGCUGAUACUUGUUUUUAGAAAUAAAUUGUGCCAGCUAUUUUGAAAUCUUAGAAAUUGUUCAUAUUAAUUUUGUCGUAUUUUCUUUUCUAUAAGAAAUAUAAUUUGAUAUAUAAAUAUACUUCUCCAUGCAUGUUUAACCUAUGAGAUCAAAUGUUCGAAGCAUUAAACAUUAAUUAUCUUGGAAUUUUAUUAUGUGUAUAAUAUCUAUUAAUAACUGUAUGUAAACCAGUGGUUCUUAAUCUUUGAAGAGAUCACAGACCCACCCCCAUGAUUAAAAAAAAAAAAAAGAACUGACAAAAAAUAUGAACUGUGUUCUGAAAAAAGUUUUAGAACCACAUUUUCAAAAUUUUCUAUUUUAUGUUAGGUAGUUCAGAGACCCACCCCAGCGUCCUACCAAUGACCCCUAUUUCAAAGCCCCUGUAAUGUUAAUGUAGUUAUUUUAUAUUAGCAUAUGUUUCUUAAUUAAAAUGUGUGAUAAUUCCUGGUAGAUAUUUUAAUAUUUCUAAGUUACUACAGAACAAAAUAUAUUUUGCCAGAAGACCACUUGGUAAGCAUUUAAUACAUGGUUUUCUUUUAAGGCUGCAGUGGAAGUUAACUUACAAACGUGCUGUGAAUAUUUUUCUAGCUUCAUGUACCAGUAUGUAGAAUUGUGCUUUUAUUUUUAAUAAAUGUUUUCCUAACACUAUUAUUAUAAUUAGAUAAUAUACAGUAUUGUAAAUACUACUGAAAUGCAUAUACUUCCCAAAUCUAGAGCCUGGUUUCCUUUUCAGAAUCAUAUCAAAAAGUUGGAAGGAGAGACUUACCGAUACCACUGUGCUAUUCCUGGAAGCAAGAAGACAAUCCUUAUGGUUACAAAUAGGCGAGUGUUGUGUAUAAAAGAAGUUGAAAUCCUGGGCCUUAUGUGUGUAGACUGGCAAUGUCCAUUUGAAGAUUUUGUAUUUCCUCCUAGUGUCAGUGAAAAUGUGCUAAAAAUUUCAGUUAAGGAACAGGGUCUGUUCCACAAAAAAGACAGUGCCAGUCAAGGCUGUGUUCGAAAAGUUUACCUGAAGGACACCACCACAGCAGAGAGAGCACGCAAUGCCAUUGAGGAUGCACAGUCAACGAGACAGCAGCAAAAAUUGAUGAAGCAGUCAUCAGUGAGACUUCUCAGACCCCAAAUGCCAUCCUAAUCACAGAUCCCAGGCGCUACAACAGGGGAAAAAAACAAUCACUGGUCUUGUCUAUAAAUCACUCUGCUUUAUCUUGCUAAAGACAAUUUUUCAAGCAAUCCUUUAGUUUUAUUUUUCUAGAAUAACUAGUGUUGGGUUUUCUAGUUUUUUCACCUUUUGGUUUUUACUCUAAUUUUGUAACCAUGUAUAUGUUAGCAGGUCCAAUUCUAUGCCACCACCCAAAUGGGUCAGACCCUUGAAGAAACAUCACUUCAAACUCAGAAUGAAAUUUUCAUUAAUAUUAAAAUUGUGAAGCAAAGGUCAGUAGGCUUAUAUUUAAUUAAAGCCUUACUGAAGAAUAAGAAAGGAGCUUAGGAUGACUAGUGUUCUUUGAAAGGUUUUUUUAUUUUUGUUUUUUUUUUGAGACCGAGUCUUGCUCUGUCACCCAGGCUGGAGUGGUGCGAUCUUGGCUCACUGCAGUCUCUGCCUUCUAUGUUCAAGCAGUUCUCCUGCCUCAGCCUCCUGAGUAGCUAGGAUUACAGGUGCACGCUACCACGCCCGGGUAAUUUUUUUUGUAUUUUUAGUAGAGAUGGGUUUCACCAUGUUGGUCAGUCUGGUGUCGAACUCCUGACCUUGUGAUCCGCCUGCCUCGGCCUCCCAAAGUGCUGGAAUUACAGGCAUGAGCCACCACAGCUGGCUAAAAGGCUUUAGGCCAUGGACAAAUGUUGGACCCUGACAUUUUGUGUAAGAGUGAUUUGUUCAGUAAUUGAACUGAGUUAACAGUUUUUUGUAAGCCAGGUAAUUGAAUGAAGAAAAGCCACUAAAGGGAGAAAUGACAUGUUUCCUAUUUUCUUUUCAUGCAAACACUGUUUUUCCCCCGAGUAAAGCGUAUUUUACUUUGGUGCUUACUUUUCCUCCUUGCACUCUAAUAAAAAAUGUGGACAAUCAAACCUCAAAAUAUCUACACUCUGCCCUCUGUAAUGUAGCGUUUAUAAAAAUUUGGAAGCUAUUUACAUGCUCUUUCAAGAUGAGCUUAUAUGACACAAUUAUUUGCUGAUACAUGAAAAUAUUGCACCCUAAGUUUCUCAAGACUCUGAAAUAUGUAAAAUUCAGUAUUUUUAUAUUCCCAGAAAUUGUUUCUUACAGGUUGAAAGACUUAAGGGCAUCACAAAUUAACAUUUACUCCUAAUGCACACCUAGAAUGUACUUUAAAUACUUAUUAAGAAGAAUGAAAAUUCUUUGGUUGUUUUAUAUAUAAAUAAGGCCUAUAUAAUGACACUGUGUUCCUUGAGGGAGCAGGCCCUGUGAGAAUCAAUUCAGUACAGUAUUUUUUUUGUCCUUUCUCCAUCCUUGAUCAGAGAUAAACUAUUAAAACUUUAAAAAACACUCAAAAAUAUUUAAGGUUUUUGGUUGAACCUUUAGAUUUGCUCAUAAUGUUUAACAUAACAACAUUUAUUUCAAAUUACUGAAUUCAUGAAGAUGUGGACGCACUUGGUUUGCUCUAUUUUUGUUUAUGUAUGGUAGUGGUUCUGUCAUCAUCAUUCAUGUUUUUUAAGGCCUGGUCAUAAAACUUUAAAUUUUACUGGUGUUACUUGAUGUAUAUUCUAAAAAGAGAAUGCAGUAACUAAUGCCCUAAAUGUUUGAUCUCUGUUUGUCAUUACUUUUUCAAAAUUAUUUUUUUUCUGUAAAGUAUAAUAUAUAAAACUUUUUGCUUAAAUUGAAUUUCUAUAUUAGUGGUUAAUUGCAGUUUGUUAAAGGGAUCAUUAUCAGCAAUUUCAUAGCAAGUGUUCUAGUAUUUUGUGUUUUUAAAACAGAAUUAGGAAUUUGAGAUAUCUGAUUAUAUUUUUCAUAUGAAUCACAGCUGUUGACAAUGUCCUAUAUAUUUAAGAAAUUAUAUCAUACUGAUACUAUUUGUAACAUUUUUAUUUGAUUUAAUCUCCAGGGACAGAAAUAAUUCAUUGGUAAAGUGUAAUAAUGUGUUUUUUUAAAAUGCUUUGAGAGUCAAUUACUUGCAUAUGAGAGAAAUAAAACAUUUGGCACAUUGUUUA